AAGAUACUCUCUCCGUCCGAAAAUACUUGUCAUCAAAAUGGAUGAAAAGGGAUGUAUCUAGAACUAAAAUGCAUCUAGAUGCAUCUCUUUUUAUCCAUUUUGAUGACAAGUAUUUUCGAACGAAGGGAGUAUUGU
rfam:Triticum aestivum genome assembly, contig: Triticum_aestivum_CS42_TGACv1_scaffold_392841_5AS